AGCAGUAGCCGCGGUAAUACGAAGGGGGCUAGCGUUGUUCGGAAUUACUGGGCGUAAAGCGCACGUAGGCGGAUAUUUAAGUCAGGGGUGAAAUCCCGCAGCUCAACUGCGGAACUGCCUUUGAUACUGGGUAUCUUGAGUAUGGAAGAGGUUAGUGGAAUUGCGAGUGUAGAGGUGAAAUUCGUAGAUAUUCGCAGGAACACCAGUGGCGAAGGCGGCUAACUGGUCCAUAACUGACGCUGAGGUGCGAAAGCGUGGGGAGCAAACAGGAUUAGAUACCCCCGUAGUCCCUGUCUCUUAUAA
rnacentral:rRNA from 1 species